GAUGAACGCUGGCGGCGUGCCUAAUACAUGCAAGUCGAGCGAACAGAUAAGGAGCUUGCUCCUUUGACGUUAGCGGCGGACGGGUGAGUAACACGUGGGUAACCUACCUAUAAGACUGGGAUAACUUCGGGAAACCGGAGCUAAUACCGGAUAACCUUUGGAACCGCAUGGUUCUAAAGUGAAAGAUGGUUUUGCUAUCACUUAUAGAUGGACCCGCGCCGUAUUAGCUAGUUGGUAAGGUAACGGCUUACCAAGGCAACGAUACGUAGCCGACCUGAGAGGGGGAUCGGCCACACUGGAACUGAGACACGGUCCAGACUCCUACGGGAGGCAGCAGUAGGGAAUCUUCCGAAAUGGGCGAAAGCCUGACGGAGCAACGCCGCGUGAGUGAUGAAGGGUUUCGGCUCGUAAAACUCUGUUAUUAGGGAAGAACAAACGUGUAAGUAACUGUGCACGGCUUGACGGUACCGAAUCAGAAAGCCACGGCUAACUACGUG
rnacentral:rRNA from 1 species